rnacentral:rRNA from 1 species
UCCGUAGGGGAACCUGCGGAAGGAUCAUUACCGAGUGCGGGUCCUUUGGGCCCAACCUCCCAUCCGUGUCUAUUGUACCCUGUUGCUUCGGCGGGCCCGCCGCUUGUCGGCCGCCGGGGGGGCGCCUCUGCCCCCCGGGCCCGUGCCCGCCGGAGACCCCAACACGAACACUGUCUGAAAGCGUGCAGUCUGAGUUGAUUGAAUGCAAUCAGUUAAAACUUUCAACAAUGGAUCUCUUGGUUCCGGCAUCGAUGAAGAACGCAGCGAAAUGCGAUAACUAAUGUGAAUUGCAGAAUUCAGUGAAUCAUCGAGUCUUUGAACGCACAUUGCGCCCCCUGGUAUUCCGGGGGGCAUGCCUGUCCGAGCGUCAUUGCUGCCCUCAAGCCCGGCUUGUGUGUUGGGUCGCCGUCCCCCUCUCCGGGGGGACGGGCCCGAAAGGCAGCGGCGGCACCGCGUCCGAUCCUCGAGCGUAUGGGGCUUUGUCACAUGCUCUGUAGGAUUGGCCGGCGCCUGCCGACGUUUUCCAACCAUUCUUUCCAGGUUGACCUCGGAUCAGGUAGGGAUACCCGCUGAACUUAAGCAUAUCAAUAAGCCGGAGG